GUGGGGAAUAUUGGACAAUGGACGAAAGCCUGAUCCAGCCAUGCCGCGUGUGUGAAGAAGGUCUUCGGAUUGUAAAGCACUUUAAGUUGGGAGGAAGGGUAGUAACCUAAUACGUUGCUACUUUGACGUUACCGACAGAAUAAGCACCGGCUAACUUCGUGCCAGCAGCCGCGGUAAUACGAAGGGUGCAAGCGUUAAUCGGAAUUACUGGGCGUAAAGCGCGCGUAGGUGGUUCAGUAAGUUGGAAGUGAAAUCCCCGGGCUCAACCUGGGAACUGCUUUCAAAACUGCUGAGCUAGAGUACGGUAGAGGGUGGUGGAAUUUCCUGUGUAGCGGUGAAAUGCGUAGAUAUAGGAAGGAACACCAGUGGCGAAGGCGACCACCUGGACUGAUACUGACACUGAGGUGCGAAAGCGUGGGGAGCAAACAGGAUUAGAAACCCGAGUAGUCC
rnacentral:rRNA from 1 species